rnacentral:rRNA from 1 species
GCUCAGGACGAACGCUGGCGGCAUGCCUAAUACAUGCAAGUCGAGCGGAGUUGANNNGAAGCUUGCUUCNNUGAUAGUUAGCGGCGGACGGGUGAGUAACACGUAGGCAACCUGCCCUCAAGUUUGGGACAACUACCGGAAACGGUAGCUAAUACCGAAUAAUUGUUUUCUUCGCCUGAAGGAAACUGGAAAGACGGAGCAAUCUGUCACUUGGGGAUGGGCCUGCGGCGCAUUAGCUAGUUGGUNNNGUAACGGCUCACCAAGGCGACGAUGCGUAGCCGACCUGAGAGGGUGAUCGGCCACACUGGGACUGAGACACGGCCCAGACUCCUACGGGAGGCAGCAGUAGGGAAUCUUCCGCAAUGGGCGAAAGCCUGACGGAGCAAUGCCGCGUGAGUGAUGAAGGUUUUCGGAUCGUAAAGCUCUGUUGCCAGGGAAGAACGCUUGGGAGAGUAACUGCUCUCAAGGUGACGGUACCUGAGAAGAAAGCCCCGGCUAACUACGUGCCAGC